rnacentral:rRNA from 1 species
GAUGAACGCUGGCGGCGUGCCUAAUACAUGCAAGUCGAGCGAACAGACGAGGAGCUUGCUCCUCUGACGUUAGCGGCGGACGGGUGAGUAACACGUGGAUAACCUACCUAUUAGACUGGGAUAACUUCGGGAAACCGGAGCUAAUACCGGAUAAUAUAUUGAACCGCAUGGUUCAAUAGUGAAAGACGGUUUUGCUGUCACUUAUAGAUGGAUUCGCGCCGCAUUAGCAAGUUGGUAAGGUAACGGCUUACCAAGGCAACGAUGCGUAGCCGACCUGAAAGGGUGAUCGGCCACACUGGAACUGAGACACGGUCCAGACUCCUACGGGAGGCAGCAGUAGGGAAUCUUCCGCAAUGGGCGAAAGCCUGACGGAGCAACGCCGCGUGAGUGAUGAAGGUCUUCGGAUCGUAAAACUCUGUUAUUAGGGAAGAACAAAUGUGUAAGUAACUAUGCACGUCUUGACGGUACCUAAUCAGAAAGCCACGGCUAACUACGUG